rnacentral:rRNA from 1 species
GAUGAACGCUGGCGGCGUGCCUAAUACAUGCAAGUCGAGCGAACAGAUGAGGAGCUUGCUCCCCUGACGUUAGCGGCGGACGGGUGAGUAACACGUGGAUAACCUACCUAUAAGACUGGGAUAACUUCGGGAAACCGGAGCUAAUACCGGAUAAUAUAUUGAACCGCAUGGUUCAAUAGUGAAAGACGGUUUUGCUGUCACUUAUAGAUGGAUCCGCGCCGCAUUAGCUAGUUGGUAAGGUAACGGCUUACCAAGGCAACGAUGCGUAGCCGACCUGAGAGGGUGAUCGGCCACACUGGAACUGAGACACGGUCCAGACUCCUACGGGAGGCAGCAGUAGGGAAUCUUCCGCAAUGGGCGAAAGCUUGACGGAGCAACGCCGCGUGAGUGAUGAAGGUCUUCGGAUCGUAAAACUCUGUUAUUAGGGAAGAACAAAUGUGUAAGUAACUAUGCACGUCUUGACGGUACCUAAUCAGAAAGCCACGGCUAACUACGUG